rnacentral:rRNA from 1 species
UAGGGAAUCUUCGGCAAUGGACGGAAGUCUGACCGAGCAACGCCGCGUGAGUGAAGAAGGUUUUCGGAUCGUAAAGCUCUGUUGUUAGAGAAGAACGUUGGUAGGAGUGGAAAAUCUACCAAGUGACGGUAACUAACCAGAAAGGGACGGCUAACUACGUGCCAGCAGCCGCGGUAAUACGUAAGUCCCGAGCGUUGUCCGGAUUUAUUGGGCGUAAAGCGAGCGCAGGCGGUUCUUUAAGUCUGAAGUUAAAGGCAGUGGCUUAACCAUUGUACGCUUUGGAAACUGGAGGACUUGAGUGCAGAGGGGGAGAGUGGAAUUCCAUGUGUAGCAGUGAAAGGCGUAGAUAUAUGGAGGAACACCGGUGGCGAAAGCGGCUCUCUGGUCUGUAACUGACGCUGAGGCUCGAAAGCGUGGGGAGCAAACAGG